rnacentral:piRNA from 1 species
UGGAAGGUGAUCCUGACGUUCUUUGUGGGU